GCCCUGGGUCAAUACUCACUCCUCAAGGCCUGAUCCUUCUCCUGCUGGGACAUGCAAAAGCAUCCAAAGAGAGAAUUUCACUGACCUCUGAGGGGAAUUUUUCACAGGUUACCUUGCCUGCAGUGUCUAUUUCUGCCUGUGCACAUGCCCCUGUGCAUAUGCUACAGCAAAUCUGAGAGAAAUGCUGCUUUCUUAGAUGCUUAAGUACCGUGGAUAUCAAACACCCCUGGGAUCCCACGCAGACCGCACAAGAUGAUUGGCAUGCGGUUUUACAGGGUGUUUACCUCCAAGAUUCAUCGAAGUGAGUGGAAGGAUAGCUGAUCUUUCCUCUUCCUGCAACUAAUCUUGAUAGCAGACAGAAGAAAGCUCCCAUUUCAAGAGAUCAUGCAAGACAAUGUCUGUCUUCCUUAUGAACUGUAGUACUAAGCAACCCUGCCUCUUGCAGUGCUGGAUGUCCUGGAUAUAUUUUGGAGAAAAAAAAUAACAACAAACCACCAUCCACCCUAUCCCUUCCUAUUUUCUUUUCUACAUCUCUAUGAAGUGAGAUGCAUACAGUGCCUCAAGGAAAAUGUAACAUAUUUAAGAGAAUAGAGACUCAGUAUCUGCAAACACAAUAACAGAUGAUGCAAUCACAGCCCCAAUUUAGGUUUUUGGAGGGUGCAGUCAAUUUUGUUGAAGCUGAUCAAAUUAGACAAUGGUAUUUUUGUUUACAAAAUAGGCAGCAGUUUCACUUGUUCCCAAAACAAAUAUAAUAAUUAGUUUAAACAGGCAGUGUGUUCAGAAU